rnacentral:rRNA from 1 species
AGAGUUUGAUCUGGCUCAGAGUAACGCUGGCGGCGUGCUAACACAUGCAAGUCGAGCGAGGAGUACCAGAGUAUCGGGCUCCUAGCGGCAGACGGGUGAGUAACACGUAAACAAUCUGCCCUCGAAUGGAGGACAACUUAACGAAAGUCGAGCUAAUACUCCCAUACAAUCUUCUCCAGGCAUCUGGAGGGGAUGAAAGGCCCGCAAGGGUUGUUCGAGGAGGAGUUUGCGGCCUAUCAGCUAGUGGCGGUGUAAUAGACCAUCAAGGCUAUGACGGGUAGCCGAUCUAAAAGGAUGACCGGCCACAAGGGCACUGAGACACGGGCCCUACUCCUACGGGAGGCAGCAGUGGGGAAUUUUGGACAAUGGACGAAAGUCUGAUCCAGCGACGCCGCGUGAAGGACGAAGGUUUUCGGAUCGUAAACUUCUUUUACAGGGGACGAAAGCUCGCAAGAGUUUGACGGUACUCUGUGAAUAAGCCACGGCUAACUACGUGCCAGCAGCCGCGGUAAUACGUAGGUGGCGAGCGUUACUCGGAAUUACUAGGCGUAAAGCGAGUGUAGGCGGGAGCUUAAGUCCGCUGUUAAAUCUCACGGCUCAACCGUGAACAGCCGGCGGAUACUGGGCUUCUUGAAUUCGGUAGAGGAAACUGGAAUUCCAGGUGUAGCGGUGAAAUGCGUAGAUAUCUGGAAGAACGCCAAAGGCGAAGGCAGGUUUCUGGGCCGCAAUUGACGCUGAGACUCGAAAGC